rnacentral:rRNA from 1 species
UACGUAGGGAGCAAGCGUUGUCCGGAAUCAUUGGGCGUAAAGCGCGCGUAGGCGGCCCGAUAAGUCCGCUGUGAAAGUCAACGGCUCAACUGUUGGAUGCCGGUGGAUACUGUCGGGCUAGAGUACGGAAGAGGCAAGUGGAAUUCCUGGUGUAGCGGUGGAAUGCGCAGAUAUCAGGAGGAACACCGAUGGCGAAGGCAGUGUUCUGGGCCAGUACUGACGCUGAGGAGCGAAAGCGUGGGGAGCAAACAGG